CUCUUUUAGUAGUUUUAGUGUCACUUAGCAUAGCUUCUGAAAGCUCAGCAAAUUAUCAAUACUCAUCUCCUCCUCCACCAGUGCAUGUCUAUCCAUCACCACCCCAUCACCCUGUAUAUAAGUCUCCACCACCACCUAAGAAGCCCUACCACCCUUCACCAACCCCAUAUCAUCCUGUACCCGUUUAUAAAUCUCCACCCCCACCAACUCCAGUUUACAAGUCGCCACCACCACCCAAGAAGCCACAAUAUCCUCCACACAUCCCGGUUUAUAAGUCGCCACCACCACCAACUCCCGUUUACAAGUCACCACCACCACCCAAGAAGCCACACUACCCUCCACACAUCCCUGUUUAUAAGUCACCACCACCGCCCAAGAAGCCAUACUAUCCUCCACAUACUCCAGUUUACAAGUCGCCACCACCACCAACUCCGGUUUACAAGUCACCACCGCCACCCAAGAAACCAUACUAUCCUCCACACAUCCCUGUUUACAAAUCUCCACCACCACCUACUCCAGUUUACAAGUCGCCACCACCACCCAAGAAGCCAUACUACCCUCCACACACCCCGGUUUAUAAGUCUCCACCACCACCAACUCCUGUUUACAAGUCACCACCACCACCCAAGAAGCCAUACUAUCCUCCACACACACCAGUUUACAAGUCGCCACCACCACCUACUCCCGUUUACAAGUCACCACCACCACCAACACCCGUUUACAAGUCACCACCACCACCUAAGAAGCCACACCAUCCUUCACCAACCCCAUAUCAUCCUGCACCAGUUUACAAGUCCCCACCACCACCUAAGAAGCCAGACCACCCUUCACCAACACCGUAUCAUCCUGCACCAGUUUACAAAUCCCCACCGCCACCUACUCCAGUUUACAAGUCACCACCACCUUCAGUGAAGCCAUACCAUCCUUCACCAACACCAUAUCAUCCUGCACCAGUUUAUAAGCCUCCACCACCACCAACUCCUGUCUACAAGUCACCUCCACCACCAACUCCAGUCUACAAGUCUCUACCACCGCACCACCCCUAUCUUUACACUUCUCCUCCUCCUCCCUACCAUUACUAAGAAGUGUCAUCGCAAAGUUGAAGG
rnacentral:lncRNA from 1 species